rnacentral:tRNA from 1 species
GGUCCCAUAGUCUAGUGGUUAGGACACUGGACUUUGAAUCCAGGA